UAAAUGCACAGUAACCCCACUCAUAAUCACGUCUUUUCUUUCUCUUCAUCCGUCGCCAUCAACUGCGACUUUCGGUCACUUGCGCCUCUUUUUCUCUUCGUUCCUGCAUAAAUAUUAUAUACAUAUAUAUAUCAGAGCCUUUUCUUUUCGGUUAUGAAUCAAAUUGCUGCUACUAAGGAGCCAGAGGAGGGUUCCGCGAAGACGAAUGAAGCAGUGAGUUGCGAAGAAGAGGAAUCAAUGGAGCAGGAAUCGGUCGUCCCUGCUACUGUCUUCUGCAUUAGGCUCCGCCAACCGAAGUCUAAUUUGCUCUACAAAAUGAGUGUGCCUGAAAUUUGUCGCAAUUUCAGUGCUGUUUCCUGGUGUGGAAAACUGAAUGCUAUAGCUUGUGCUUCAGAAACAUGUGCAAGAAUUCCAAGCUCAACUGGAAAUCCACCAUUUUGGAUUCCUAUACACAUUGUGAUCCCAGAGAGGCCGACUGAAUGUGCAGUAUUCAAUGUCAUUGCAGAUUCUCCUCGUGAUUCUGUCCAGUUCAUUGAAUGGUCCCCCACCUGUUGUCCUCGUGCAUUAUUGAUAGCAAAUUUCCAUGGGAGGGUAACUAUUUGGACUCAACCGUCUCAAGGGCCAGCUAAUCAUGUACUUGAUACUAGCUGCUGGCUGCGAGAGCAUGAGUGGCGACAAGACAUUGCAGUUGUUACAAAGUGGCUCUCGGGGGUGUCCCUGUAUAGGUGGUUUUCAUCAAAACAAAGUGCUCCAGCCAAUUCAAGGUCAACAUUUGAAGAAAAGUUUCUUUCACAACAAUGUCAAACGUCAGCUAGAUGGCCCAAUUUUCUUUGUGUAUGUUCUGUGUUCUCAUCAGGCACUGUUCAACUUCAUUGGUCCCAGUGGCCUCCUUCGAAUGCAACACCACCCAAAUGGUUUUGCACUAGUAAAGGACCAUUGGGUUGUGGCCCCAGUGGCAUUAUGGCUGGUGAUGCUAUCAUUACAGAGAGUGGUGCCAUGCAUGUGGCAGGUGUGCCAAUUGUUAAUCCAUCCACCAUUGUUGUUUGGGAGGUUAUGCCUGGGCCUGGUAAUGGUUUCCAAGUAAUUCCAAAAACAAGUACCAGUAACGGUGUCCCACCUCCAAUUAGCUCGCCCAAUUGGAUUGGUUUUGCACCUUUAGCGGCAUAUUUAUUUAGCUGGCAAGAUUAUCUAUUAUCUGAAGAAAAACAAGGGAAAAGCCAGCCAAACCAAAACCUUUGUGGUUCUAUACCACUUCACUGUUCACCAGUUUCAAAUUUUUCGGCAUAUGUGAGUCCUGAAGCUGCAGCUCAAUCUGCAGCAACUACUACAUGGGGCUCUGGUGUAACAGCGGUAGCCUUUGAUCCAACUUGUGGUGGUUCUGUGAUAGCUGUUGUGAUAGCUGAGGGACAGUACAUGUCCCCUUAUGAUCCAGAUGAAGGUCCAUCAAUCACAGGGUGGAGAGUGCAACGCUGGGAAUCAUCUUUACAGCAUGUUGUACUCCACCCUAUAUUUGGGAAUCCUACUUCCAGUAUGGGUGGACAGCCUCCUAUGCAAACUGUUUGGCAGACCAAAGUGGACCUGAGCAUUCCACCGACAAAUGAUUUCAAGAAUCAUCAAGCUUCUGCGGGUGGAAUGAACACAGAUGUACAAAAGGUAGCAGAGUUUGGUUUUGAUAAAUCAAAAAGAGUCUAUUUCGAUCCUUUUGAUCUUCCAAGUGAUGUUAGGACACUUGCACGAAUUGUAUACUCUGCUCACGGUGGUGAAAUUGGCAUUGCUUUUCUUCGGGGUGGAGUCCACAUCUUUUCUGGUCCAAAUUUUACUCCUAUAGACAACUAUCAGAUCGGUGUCGGAUCUGCAAUUGCAGCUCCUGCUUUUUCUUCAACAAGCUGUUGUUCUGCUUCUGUUUGGCAUGACACAAGCAAGGAUCAGACGAUUUUGAAAAUAAUCCGGGUUCUCCCUCCUGCUAUUCCAACUGGUCAAGUAAAGACCAACUCGUCAUACUGGGAGCGUGCAAUUGCUGAAAGGUUUUGGUGGAGCCUUUUGGUUGGAGUUGAUUGGUGGGAUGCUGUGGGCUGUACACAGAGUGCUGCUGAGGAUGGUAUUGUUUCACUUAACAGUGUUAUCGCAGUCUUGGAUGCAGAUUUCCAUUCUCUUCCUUCUGCUCAGCAUAGACAACAGUAUUGUCCUAGUCUAGACAGAAUAAAGUGUAGGCUGCUUGAAGGGGCAAAUGCUCAAGAGGUCAGGGCAAUGGUUCUGGAUAUGCAAGCUAGGUUGUUAUUGGAUAUGCUUGGGAAGGGAAUUGAGUCUGCUUUGAUAAAUCCUUCAGCUUUAGUGCCCGAUCCAUGGCAACUAUCAAGUGAGACAUUAUCGAGCAUUGACCCUGAAGCAGUGGCCGUUGAACCUGCACUAGUUCCAUGUGUUCAGGCUUAUGUUGAUUCAGUUCUUGAUCUAGCUUCACACUUUAUCACACGGUUGCGGCGUUAUGCUAGUUUCUGUCGUACAUUAGCAAGCCAUGCUGUGACUGCAGGGACUGGAAACAACAGAAAUGUGGUCGCUAGUCCUACUCAAAGUUCUGCAACUCCUGCAACAAGUCAGGGGGGUCAAAAUGGGACAACCAGUUCUAGUGGAAGCACACAGAUGCAAGCUUGGGUACAAGGGGCCAUUGCCAAGAUUAGUAGCACAACUGAAGGAGUAUCCAACCCAGCUCCUAAUCCCCCUAUUAGUGGUCCGUCUUCCUUUAUGCCCAUUAGCAUUAAUACAGGAACUUUUCCAGGAACACCUGCAGUUCGACUCAUUGGGGACUGUCAUUUCCUCCAUAGAUUAUGCCAACUGUUGCUCUUCUGUUUUUUCUUCCGACGGACACAACUAUCCCGAUAUGUGGGGGGUGUACAGAGAACUACUGACACAAAUACACAAAAGCCUCAACCCAAUGGUUCUGCUCCUGCAAAGGUGGAGGAACCUGUAAAACCAGGAUCAACGUUGGUUAGGCCAGAUGAUGGUCAGGCUGGUCGAGUUAAUCAGCUUGUGACUGCACCAAAAGGAGGUGAAGAACCAUCUCCAGGGCGUUCAAGAAUUGGUACUGGAAAUGCUGGCCAAGGAUAUACAUUUGAAGAGGUCAAGGUUCUUUUUCUAGUACUUAUGGAUCUCUGUCGCCGAACCACUGGCUUGCAACACCCACUGCCAGUUUCUCAAGUGGGGAGUAAUAACAUUCAGGUUCGUCUGCAUUAUAUUGAUGGAAACUACACUGUACUGCCCGAGGUUGUGGAAGCAUCCCUUGGCCCCCAUAUGCAGAACAUGCCCCGUCCUAGAGGUGCUGAUGCUGCCGGUCUUCUACUACGUGAGCUAGAACUCCAUCCUCCAGCCGAAGAGUGGCAUAGGCGGAAUAUGUUCGGUGGACCUUGGUCUGAUUCAGAUGAUUUGGAUUCUACAAAUGAAGCACCAAAACUUGUUAAUCUUGAUUUCAGCUCAUUGGAAACUUGUGAUGUCUACGAUGGAGGCAAUGGCUUAUUGUCAAGGAAACGCAGGAUGUCUGAACGAGAUGCAGCUUUUGGGUUGAACACUUCCGUUGGCCUGGGAGCAUACCUGGGUAUAAUGGGAUCUCGAAGAGAUGUUGUUACUGCAUUGUGGAAAACUGGCCUUGAAGGAAUCUGGUAUAAGGUACUAUUUAAUUUUCUCAUCUCUUUUUUACUUCUGUUUGGUACAGUGUAUAAGAUGUCUGCGGCAGACUUGUGCUUUUGCCUCACCAACCUCCACCAAUCUUCCUGGUCAAAAUGAGAAGGAUAUUUGGUGGAUCAGCCGCUGGGCUCAUGGCUGUCCAAUGUGUGGUGGAACAUGGGUUCGUGUUGUAUAGCUGGUUUCAAGACAAAAUUGUUACGUGAGUUUCUCUAGGUCAGGGAAGAAUUGCUUGUAUUUGUUGCUAACCGCAGAAACUGAAGGUAGAUGAAACACUGGAAGGAAUUGUACAGGAGAGGAGACGUGUAGAUUACCUGACAGGUUCUUUAUCAUUUUAUUAUCAUUGCAGAUGCUAGUCUUUUCAGAUAAGAGAUCGGUGAUGGUGGACAAGUAAUUAGUAAUGUCCCUGACUAAUCCCAGAGAAACCUCUGCAUGACUUUCCACAUCAGUAUUAUUGACUACUCGUAUUUAUACGUGCAUAAGAGGAGCAGAAGGUGGUAAGUGGAGUGGGUACUAUACAAUAUUUUAUCCAUUUCUUUUAACAAAAACAACAUAUGUAAUUAAAUAAUCAACUAUAUAUGUAAAUUGAUAAAAUAAUUUAUUUAAUUUGGGCGGGUGGGGGCAACGUCACAUUUAUUGCAGUAAUAGAUAAAUUUUAUGUACUGUUUCAUGGUUUA